rnacentral:lncRNA from 1 species
UUCACAUUUCCUUUUUGCCCUAAAAAUCAUCCCCCUUCUUUUUUCUCUUUUUUUUCUAGGAUAAACUUCAAAUACUACCCAUUAUAGUUUCGUAUUUUUUAAUUUUAGUACUAUAUAAUUUAAAGUGUAUCAAGUUAGUGUCCUGUAAUUUUAUUUUUAUCUUUUCGUUAGUUGUUCCAUUAAUAUUUCAUUAAAUUAAUUAUAUAUAAAAAACUUCAAAUACCCCACAUAGGUUUAUCGAAUAUUCACUUUAGUAUCUUUUACUUUUAACUUUAUCACUGAUUUAAUGAAAAAAAUUAGUGGAAUCAAUAAUAAAAAGAUAAAAAUGAAACUGCAGGGCACUAAAUUGAUACACUUUAAACCACAGCAUACUAAAGUGAAAAAGUGUGAAACCACAGGGGUGGUAUUUGAAGUUUUCCCUUUUUUCUAUUUUAUAACUGACUUUUUCUUUUUUUUCGUACUUAAGGCUGCCUAUUUAUCCUAAAUUCUGAUAAAGUGACUUCUGCAGAAUUAAUUUCAAUUUUAAGACUUGAUUUUGGUUAAAAGUUGUAGAGUAUUUCGCUAAAUUUAGAUGGAGAGUGAUUUUUUUUAAGUAAUUUUGUAAGGCUGUUUGGUUUUUUUUUUUU